rnacentral:rRNA from 1 species
UACGUAGGGUGCGAGCGUUGUCCGGAAUUACUGGGCGUAAAGAGCUCGUAGGUGGUUUGUCGCGUUGUCCGUGAAAACUCACAACUCAAUUGUGGGCGUGCGGGCGAUACGGGCAGACUGGAGUACUGCAGGGGAGACUGGAAUUCCUGGUGUAGCGGUGAAAUGCGCAGAUAUCAGGAGGAACACCGGUGGCGAAGGCGGGUCUCUGGGCCGAUAUGACGCUGAGGAGCGAAAUGCGUGGGGAGCGAACAGG